rnacentral:lncRNA from 1 species
CCUUACAUUUGAGAGGAACGGUGCUCCCACUGAUCCUCAUCUUAGAAUAUUCUAAGACCACCUGGUAAUUACGACUACUUUCUUAGAAUGAUCUUCUUUUUACUUUGCCUUUUUAUCAUGCAACAAAUCAAGUAUUAUUAAGUUCUAUUGUUAAUUUUUUAUUAAAUCAUGGUUUAAUUACUUUCUCUGCUACUACUUUUUUCUCUAUGAUUACAAUGUAGUUUUUCAUUAUGCAGAAACAUAAUCUCUUAUACAUGCUCUCUAACAUAGUAACGAGCAUCUGGAAUCUCAAGAACACAGCUGAGUUGGUUGUUUUCACAUGGUACCUAUUACUGUUCAAUUCUCAUUUCUCAAAUACUGGAUACACAACUUUGAACUUUAUAAUUGGAACGAAUGUUAACUCUUUGAAGUUAUAAGGAAAAACUCACAUGAACACAAACUUAUACCAUUAGACUAAUAAGGUGUUGAUCUAGUGUUGUAAGGCCUCUUUAGAUCUUGAGGCUGACCAAAAAGUCAAAUAUCGAUUCUUGGGAACAACACUUGAGAAGAGUAACCACAUACUUGCGUAAAGGGUGAGGGGAUACCUUAGUAGGACCAAUAAAAUCACAUGAUACUUUUGUGUAUUAAUUAUAUUAUUAAAUGGUGGAUGUUUGAUGGAAGUUUAUGAAUGAUUUUAUUUUAUCUCAAGUAGGCAUGUACAAGAUUCUUCUCAUAUACGCUAACCCAUCCUAACUCCAAAUUCAUUUUCAUGAGUUUGUAUUUUAGAAAUUAGACUUGUUCUGUCUUUUACAUCAGGUUAGCCAACUUGAUAUCUCACAUGCUUUUGGAAUGUAUAAUAUUUUUAGCAUAUGAGAAUAAGUAGUAAGAGUUCUUCCCUUAGGCUACUAAUAUUUUGUAAGAUAAUCCUG